rnacentral:rRNA from 1 species
UAUUAUUUUAAGUGUUAAUUUUGCUUACCAGGGUACUGUUAGUUAAGGUCUUUAAACCCAAAGAAUUUGGCGGUAUCUCAUUCCAUUCAGAGGAACCUACCCCGUGAUUGAUAGUACACGAUUGACUUUACUUAAUUUAUUUGUUUGUAUAUCUCCGUUAUCAGAGAAUCUUUUUAGAGUUAUAAUUUUCUUGAUUUAUAAUUAUAAAAUAUUUCAGGUCAAGGUGCAGCUUAUAAUUAAGAGGAGGUGGGUUACAAUAGAUUUUUGUUUAUUACGGAUUUGUUGGUGAAAACUGUCAAUGAAGGUGGAUUUGAUAGUAAUUUAAUUUAUUUAAUUUAAUUGAUAUUGGCCCUGAGGUGUGUACACAUCGCCCGUCACUCUCAUUAUUGAUCAUUAUACUUAAAAUUUUUUGGUAAGGUAUGUUCAAAUUAGAUGAG